rnacentral:rRNA from 1 species
UACAGAGGAGCCAAGCGUUGUCCGGAUUGACUGGGCGUAAAGCGCACGCAGGCGGGGGUGCGCGUGGGGUGUGAAAUCUGGCCGCUUAACGGCCAGGCGCCAUCCCAUACGGCACGCCUGGAGCCUUGCAGAGGUCGGUGGAAUUGCCGGUGUAGUGGUGAAAUGCGUAGAGAUCGGCAGGAACACCCAGGGGAAACCAGCCGACUGGGCAAGUGCUGACGCUGAGGUGCGAGAGCGUGGGGAGCGAACCGG